rnacentral:lncRNA from 10 species
UGAGAUCAGAGUUGGUGGGUCCAGGUGGAGCCAUGGGUGUGAGACAAGCAAAAAACCUGAAAGACAUCUCAAAAGGCCAAUCUACAAUCGUGUCUUGUCUGCAGGAAUAACUGGGGAAGUUGCAUAUCUUAUAGCCUCUGGAAUAAUGGCUGACAAUCUUUCCUGCCUGUGCCUUAGCAGGACUCAGGUUCCUCUCCUAUCCCCAGCCUGAUGGCCUCCUAUUUGCUUUAAAAAAGCUGUCAUUCUAAGUCCCAAGAAGCCAUGUGCCCCCCAUGAGGACUAUGAACAUCGGGGCCUGAGUCCAUCAGGACAGAAGCCAGAGCUGUGAAGACUAUACUUGGAGGAUCCAACCGCUCCCACAAUAGCCAGGAGGCAAAACAGGGAAAGCAGAGGAGGAAGAGGCCAUAUUGGGCUUGUAGCUGGUGGUCUAGACUCUAAGAACGUGUCUCCAGAUGUCAUCAUGGCCACCUAUCCAGACCCCUGAAUCCAGAGACUCUAAACCAAAGACAUAAGCUCACAGUCAAAUCAAGUGGGUAUCUAAU